UGGUUUUCUUUUAUUAAGGGAGCAUCAUCUUAUUUUCCUGGGACGCGCACUGCAAUCCGUGAACGCGCAUGAAGCGCCGUCACGUGGGAGGUCCCUUUAAGUUUCCAUUGACAGAGGCCUGAGCGUGUCACAUGGACAUGAUAUAAUGAAAAGGCAGGGACAGAAAGGCAGAGUGCGCUGAGCUCUUGGCUGAUGGAGAAGGAGCCCGAAAUGUACGCAGUCAUCUGCCGACAGCCAGCAGUCUGCGGGCAGAGGGACAACGCGGUCGUACCGAGCCCAGCCGAUCCUGGCCGGGGCGAACCGAGCCGGACUCACUGCGCCUCAUCCGACGGGACCUCUCUAUUCGCAGUUGCACCUGCCAGCUAUGACACGUACUUUGAAAGAAGAAAAAAAAUCGCAUUGGUCCCGGAGCAGGAGAGGGGCGCCUUAACAAGCGCUUCACUGGACGUUAAUAUAUGCUGCAGAUGCCUAUUGGCUUCAAAUUAGCAAGAAGGACUGGAAUGACGCACUACUGGCAAAAAGAGGCAGUGUGGACGGAUGGAUGGAUAGACUGGAUAGACUGAUGGACAGAGCGGCUGGGAGGAUGACAUCACCCUUGCCUCUAGGAGCCAGGGCCUGCCAUUCAUGCCAGCGGAUAAGUAGCAACAAGGAUGAGGCUGUGAGUACCCGAACAUGGUUUAGAAUAAAGUAAGUAUUCAUUAUUAUACUCUGAAUGUCUAAAAGAACACAGUGUGUCAGUAUGUAGCUGACACGACAGCUCCUGUGAAUUUCUCCAACACAGGCGUAGCUGUUAUUUGCUGUCAGCCUUGUUUGUUGUGAUGUCUGUUCUGUUUGAAUUUCUCUCUGCUGCUGGAGGCCAAUUUUCAAGCACUAGUCGUCCAUGUCACCGUGUUGCCAUGACAACUCCAUUCAUGUUUAAGACAGACUUCGUCCAAAUGAGAAGCGUCGACCCGUUUCUUCUCCUGUGACACAACAGCUCAUCAACUGACAGACUGACACAUGGACGCAGUGCAGUUGAAAUGAGCGCAACUGAAUUAACUUUACUACCAAUGUUAUGUGUAUUUUGUAUCAUAUUGUUUAUAAAGGUAAGUUUAUUAUCAGGAGAGUCAGAAUUCAUCUAAAUGAUACUGAAAUGCUUACUUUUUUCAUAUGAUGACUUUAUCAAAGUUGAGUGAGGAUUCAACUGCAUGCCACCUCAAAUAAAGUAAAAAACCCUCAAUAGUGUGUUCGGUUCAUCUCACCGCUGCAGCUGUGGUCCAACACCUAAAACAUCUUCCCCCAGAAGCUGGUUUCACAUGGUGGUUUAGAUGUGUGUUCCCGUUGUCUAGCACCAUUUGAAAUCAGUGUUCUUGGGGACAGGAGGACAGCUCUGGCAGUGAGUGAGCCUCAGGAGGACAAUCACAGGACAUCCUUCCCUCCUCCGCUUUCCCCACUCAAAGAUAACUGAUUUCCUCUGGUGCUUAGAGCCCGCUGCAGCCUUCUAGCACCAUUUGAAAUCGGUUAUAAAAAUGUGGAUCAAUGCAUUUGUGAGUCUUCAGCAAAACGCAAGAUAAGGAGAAGAAGGUGACGACUGGCUCUACAUUCCUUGACUGAAGCUUGAAGAGCUCAGUUUGUUACUUGUGGAUUUUGUUUUUUUUUAACUUACUCAAUUCAUGGAUAACAACUUGAUGUUAACUCUAAUAAAUGUAUUACUUGUGCCGAAUAAAAUAAAGUUUAUUAUUUGUGUCAUUUACACCGUCAGCAACCAGUCGAUUUUGCUGCAGUUCCUACUGACCACCACUAGAUGUUGAUAGAAUGGUUUGAGGUGAGCGAGGUGUAACACAGCACAGUAGGGCAGAAUUACAAAAAAUCACAUGCUGGUUUAAUUUAAACACUCUUUCAAAUAUUUUAGACACAAAUGGGAGGUUGGAUAUCGGAGUAUAGUUUGCUAAGAUGUCUGGGUCAAGUGAAAAAGGCUCGAUAACAGCAGUCUUAAACGCCUGUGGUACAUAACCUGUUGUUAAAGACAAGUUGAUCUGAUCUAAGAAGGAAAGGCCAAUCAAGGGAAAGACGCCCUUGAGGAGCUUAGUU